UACGGGGGGGGGUAAGCGUUGUUCGGAAUUACUGGGCGUAAAGAGCUCGUAGGCGGUCUGUUGCGUCGGCUGUGAAAACCCGAGGCUCAACCUCGGGCCUGCAGCCGAUACGGGCAGACUAGAGUUCGGCAGGGGAGACUGGAAUUCCUGGUGUAGCGGUGAAAUGCGCAGAUAUCAGGAGGGAACACCGGUGGGCGAAGGCGGGUCUCUGGGCCGAUACUGACGCUGGAGGAG
rnacentral:rRNA from 1 species